UGGUGCGACAUUCUCCCCUUCGUUCCGUCGGUCCGCUUCUACCUGCGAUCCACGCUUCGUCGCAAGUACGAUAGGAAGGCGCCGGCAAGUGGGACCAAUUCACCGUCUCGCUCCCUCACUCCGCCCUCCUCCUCGUGCGAUGCCCACCAGAUCGCGACACCAUGGCCUCCCGCGAUGGCUCCUCCUCCUCGUGUGACACCCUCGCCAGAUCGCGACUCCACGACUCGCGACAUUGCCGCCUCAGCCUUGUGCGACGCCCUCGCGACUUGCGAGACCUUGCGACACCGCGACAUCGCCUCCUCGCGACCUCGGCUCCAUCCUCCUCAAUCCCGAUCCGUCACCACCGAGCCGACGCCACCGGAUGCUGCCGCCUCCAUGAUCACCGUCGCUGCGCCCACACAACGCAGCAGGAUCGCCAGGUGGACGUAGGAAUAAGCCGAACCACACAGUCUUUGAAGAGAACAUUACUUACGCCUCCAAAGUGUAAGGUCCUUUAUACUUUGACACCUAUUUUCUAAAACAUGCUAUAGAUAAGCUGACAGCAUCAAGAGCUGCUAAAGUGUUCUAGGUUCAGGUGAACUAUUAUGAUUUUUAUAGGAAGUAUGCUCUAAGGAAUAAAAUGUGCGUUGCUAGCUAAAUUUUAUUUUAUAUGAUAGGUAAUCAAGCCUUUACUGUAUGGAUCAUCAUUCAAAUUGGUCAUGUGGUCAAAUUAUUUUUAUGCUCACAGGUUAUAGCUAUUUUGCUUGUUCUUGAAUCAGGGAUAGAAAGUGUUUUGAAUAGCAAGAGUUCUGAAUUUUGAUGUGUGCAAACUGACAAGUUUUUGGUUAUAUUCAGUUAAUGUAUUCUUCAAUUUAUUCUGUGCAGACCACUCAAAAGAAAUACAUAUCUCUGUCUAGCUUGUGCAGGUGACAAAUCGGUCAUCAUGUGGUUACAGCCUUCUGCAAUAUAGGUUGUGUGCGGUGACUCUUUCUGAUUAGGCCAAAUUUGUGGACUACAUGGAUAGCAAUGUCAGAUUAUUGCGGUCAGAUCCUAAUCAUUUUUCACAAAAGCAUCACCGUGUUGUUAGAGAAACACUACAAAUAAGAAGGAAAUGGAAAUAGAGGAGUGGCAUCUCAGUGAAUAACUUUAACAAAUGAAGUUAAUGUCUCAUUGGAAGAACUAUUUCUUGAUGUAGGCAACAGAUGAAGUUAAUGUGGCCUAUGCCUGCUUCCUGGACCGUACCGUGGGCAGCCUUGAAUCAUGGUCUUACUGAAUAUGUAUGUAUAUUGUUAGUGAAUAGCUUCUCUAAUUGAAUCAUUGUUUUCCUGAGUUUGUAAAAAUAUGUAUCUGUGCUGUUAGUGCCAUCUCAUAAUUUCUCUCCUUCCAAGAGUCUGGCUAAGUGAUCCAUCUGUCUCUGAAAUUGCUAUGUUGGCUACCAACUGAAUACUGUAUGUACAGAUAUUGUUCCUUGCAAUCUUUGGAAGAGGAUGAAAUUCUGACUAUAUAUGCACCCAUAGGUCUGUCCAUAGAAGGUUGUGCAGUACACUCUUAAUGUUUCCUCAUGUGUAAUGACCAUAUCUUUUUUUGUGGAAUUUUUUGAGCUAGAAUAACACAAGAAAAGGUACUCUGUCAAGUAGUUAGCAUCCAAGAUGCACAGAGCAUGAGGAUAUCAUGUGGGAUGUAUUUCAGAGUUCAGGUGACCUUAGAACCAACCUUGAUUUCUCAAACAUAUAAAUUAUUGAAUAAUAAUGUUUUAAGAGCUUGCUAGA